CUGGCUCUUGUUUCAACAGCGUUUGGAUGGAACAG
rfam:Myotis davidii contig70834, whole genome shotgun sequence.